AUAGUACUCCCUCCGUCCGGAAAUAUUUAUCAUUAAAAUGAAUAUAUUUAGAACUAAAAUACAUCUAGAUACAUCCAUUUGAAUGACAAGUAUUUCCGGACGGAGAGAGUACUAC
rnacentral:pre_miRNA from 1 species